GCGGUGGCAGCGACGCAGUGAGACCUGGGAGGAGACAGAGGCAGGGCUUGCAACGGAAGUGGCCUCUCUCCCUCUGCAGGGCUGGGGAAGAUGCUGCGCCCUGCGUUACCGUGGCUGUGCCUUGGCCUCUGCAGCCUCCUGGUGGAGCAAGUAGAGGCCCCGAGCCCCCUGGAUCCGCAGGAGCGGAGCCGGCCAUACGCGGUGCUGCGCGGGCAGAACCUGGUGUUGAUGGGGACCAUUUUCAGCAUCCUGCUGGUGACUGUCAUCCUUAUGGCAUUUUGUGUCUACAAGCCCAUUCGGCGUCGGUGACAGCCAGAUGGCAUCGGUGACAGCCAGUUCUUCAAUGAGUAUUUGGGAAUAGGAUAACUUGUGUUGCACAUGGGCCAGUGGAGAAGUUGGAAUCAAAAACUUUCCUACCUGGAAAUGACCUUUGGUCUGGACGGUUGAUAAACGCUAAAUGAUUUAGAACAUCUACUAGCAAUUAUUUUUCCUAACACUGUAGUGCAAAGAACUGGCCCCUCAGUUUGCUUCUCAGUGUUUCUUUUUCUGACUGUACUUGUUAAAAGUAAGGCCUGAAAGCUCCAAAGGUCAGUGUAAAAAUGGAGUGUUCAUUCAUUAGAAAGAAAACAUGGUAACCUUAUGAGUGCCUGUGAGAACCACACUGGAAAGAACUAACCAUUAAAUGCUUGAAAAUGUUAAUAGGAGGGAGACUUACAAUAUAGACUUUCUGUAUUUAAGAAUCAUUUGGUCACAACGGGUUAAGAAUCACAGAUGUUUUUUCUCACCUGAGUUGGCCUAGAAUGCGCUGGUUGCAAAGUGGUGUCAGCUGCGAGGAUCUUGGGCCCUCAUUUCUCACCUGCAUCCAGCCCUGCACUCAGGUCCUCACCCCGAAGGCAGAGUCACAUCAGGUAGACCUGUUACUACAUGCACAUUUGGCCUGGAAAGCUCUGAGGUUGGACUGGAAAUGUUACCAGGUUGGUCCCUCACAAAAAGGACUCUGUCCUGCUCAGACGCAUUAAUCUCCCUUGCCCUGCCUUUGAGUCUUUCUAGCCCACGGUCUGAAACUUGAGGUAACUUUCCAGAUUUAGAAUCUAAAAGGCUCAGCAGGUGGUCUGUUCAUCUCUGGGUGGGGAGGGCCCAGCCAACAGAAAUGCACGUCCACUGUGCGGGCCAGUGUGUGUUUACACAAAUUUCAUCUCAGCUUUGAAAAUGCUGCUAUUAGUUUGCACUGUUGGUGAACUGGAAUUUUUCCUCCUAUUGAAAUGAUACUUUCAUACUUAUAGAGUGGUCAUCAAUAUUUAUUUUAAGGUGCUAGAUUUAAUUUUGUUAUUACAUUGAAAUGCUUAUCUUGUGUUCAUUCAAACAGCACUGAUUUUAACAACCUGCAUUUAAUGUGAAAUAACUGAAAUAAGAUGUAACUGUUUAACUUAAGGAUUUUGUUUGUAAUCUUGUAACAUUGAACCAUUAAAAUGUUCACUGUUCUGUGCUUUUAAGCAAAAUGUCAAUUAAAGUUAAAUCCUAUA